rnacentral:pre_miRNA from 1 species
UGAAAGGUGAUCACUGAGUUAUUGGCCCGGUUCACUCAGAUGGAAGAUGCCGUUUAAUUUUCUUAAUUAUUCAGCCUAGCUCAUUUUGAUUGAGCCGUGCCAAUAUCUCAAUGCUCCUUUCA